rnacentral:rRNA from 1 species
AUUGAACGCUGGCGGCAGGCCUAACACAUGCAAGUCGAACGAGUGGCGGACGGGUGAGUAAUGUCUGGGAAACUGCCAGAUGGAGGGGGAUAACUACUGGAAACGGUAGCUAAUACCGCAUACCAUCGGAUGUGCCCAGAUGGGAUUAGCUAGUCGGAGGGGGAAUGGUUCACCGAGGCGACGAUCCCUAGCUGGUCUGAGAGGAUGACCAGUCAUACUGGAAUUGAGACACGGUCCAGAGUCCUACGGGAGGCAGCAGUGGGGAAUAUUGCACAAUGGGCGCAAGCCUGAUGCAGCCAUGCCGCGUGUAUGAAGAAGGCCUUCGGGUUGUAAAGUACUUUCAGCGAGGAGGCGUUACCCGCAGAAGAAGCACCGGCUAACUCCGUGCCAGCAGCCGCGGUAAUAC